GUCCAGCUGACAAAUCCCAAAUAGGACGAAACAUACGUCCUGGAU
rnacentral:hammerhead_ribozyme from 1 species